AACGAGCAAAACCUUCCACUUCUGCAUCAACAGACUGGAAAGCAGGAGAAAGAGAGCAAAUGUUAUUGAGAGACUUACUGAAACAGUUAUUCUUUAACUGAAGUCACAGUCAACAUCACCCCUCGGCCUUCUGAUUCAGUUUCCUGACCAUGUGUGUGACACAGGGCAAUAAAGUAAUUAGAACUCUCUCAACCCCUCCAAAAAGAGGAUAUACAUAGGUGAGAACCUCCAGGGGCUGAUGAAUAUCAAAGUUUUUGCCGGUUUCUCAUUGCUAAUACGUGCUUCUAGUUUUUGUUUACAGACACAGCGUCUCCAUGUCAGACAUGUCUACAAGAAAGCAGUGUAAUGAAUAGCCAAUAUGAUAAUUGGGCCUCUUUUUGCAUUUCAGUGUGCUGGCAAUAAAAACAGAGCACAAACGAGCACGCAGGAUUCUGGGGAACAACUCCAUCAAUACAUAUAUACAUAUAUAGAUAGAUAGAUAUAUUUAUAUCUAUCUAUAUAUAUAUAUUUGCGAAUGAGCCAUCAUCUGCUAUCAGGGCUGGAGAGGUGCCAUUGUAAGGUUGGGUCGUGGUCAGGUAGCUGCCAACAACUCCUCGACAGAGGCAAGGCGUGUCAGGGAUACCCUCAACAAAUUCUUUGUGGCAGAGGGAGCAGAACCAUGGUGACCCACAGCAUGACUGAACAGUUCUUUUCAGGACAAAAUUUCAAAGGCUUUUUUCAAAGUCACCCACAAACCUCUUAAGAGCAAACCUUCCUUCAUCCUAUGUGUACAUGAAUGUUUGUGUCCUUUUUAUAUAUGUUGUGUUUGCAGAUUGUAGGUUUUGUUGUCCUUUCCUUCUUUGCAGGGACUCCACUGGAACUCAAUGCACAUCCUGACAAGGUCAUCUGUUGUGUCCUCCUGUGGCUA